UACAUGGGGUGCAAACGUUGCUCGGAAUUAUUGGGCGUAAAGCGCACGUAGGUGGUCGCUUAAGUCGGAUGUGAAAGCCCUCGGCUCAACUGAGGAAGUGCAUCCGAAACUGAGUGGCUAGAGUAUGGAAGAGGGUCGCGGAAUUCCCGGUGUAGAAGUGAAAUUCGUAGAUAUCGGGAGGAACACCGGUGGCGAAGGCGGCGACCUGGGCCAAUACUGACACUGAGGUGCGAAAGCGUGGGGAGCAAACAGG
rnacentral:rRNA from 1 species